UACAGAGGUCUCAAGCGUUGUUCGGAUUCAUUGGGCGUAAAGGGCUCGUAGGCGGCCAACUAAGUCAGACGUGAAAUCCCUCGGCUUAACCGGGGAACUGCGUCUGAUACUGGAUGGCUUGGAGUUUGGGAGAGGGAUGCGGAAUUCCAGGUGUAGCGGUGAAAUGCGUAGAUAUCUGGAGGAACACCGGUGGCGAAGGCGGCAUCCUGGACCAACACUGACGCUGAGUGAGCGAAAGCCAGGGGAGCAAACGGGG
rnacentral:rRNA from 1 species